CAAUGAAUGUUGAAAUGCAAAGACUGUGGUGCCUCUGUGUCACGAAGAUCUGAGCUUCUUAAACAUUAUAAACUUGAACACAGACAUUAUGGACGCCGCCAUUCCUAUCCAUGCAUCCAUUUAAACUGUCCGUGUACCUGCAAAACUUGGAAGGCACUUUUGACCCACUUGUCAAGAUCUCAUCAGCCAUCCUCACAAACUGAACUAACCACAUUUAAAUGUCUCUUAUGCAACUGCAAUGAACGUUCAACUUUAACAGACUAUUUUCAACAUAUAGCUCAGCAUCUGAAAAAUAGUGAAACUGCUGAUUGUGUGUUUCAGGGGUGUUCGUACAGAACAAAUAUUUAUGGUUCAUUUCGGACUCACAGAAGCAGAAAUCAUAAGAAUUGCUCAGUAAAUGACUUAAAGCCUGAAAUAGUAGAGAAACAGGGGUCAAGUUUGGGUGUUUCUGUUGAAAGUGAUUGUUCUGAUAGUGUUGGUUUUGAGCCCCCAGAUUUAAGUGCAGAGGACUUGGAUGAUUCAAGUUUUGAUUUAAAUGACUUGACACAUAAUGUUGAGCUCAAAGUUGCCUCUCUCUUACUGAAGCUAGAACAUAUUUAUCUUGUGUCUAGUGUUGCUGUUGAUGAACUUUUGCAAGAGUUUGACUAUUUAAUUAGCACUGCUUCUGUCCCUCUUAUCCAUCAAACCAUAUCUCACCACUUACGGAAUGGCAACUGUCAAGUAGAUGAAACUGUUCUGCAAGAGUUAGCAUCUACUAUUUGCAAGUCAAAUCCAAUCACAGCAUCAUUUAGUGGUCGUGGCCCACUUUCCACUGCCUGGAAGCAAAAGGCGUACUACAAAAAACAUUUUAAAACAGUAGAACCUACAGAAUUUGUACUCGACUCCCAAAACAAAAAAUCAUUUCAAUACAUCUCUAUACUAAAAUCGUUACAGCAGAGUCUAAGUUGUCAAACUUUUCUAGAUCUAUCAAUCAAUUUGAAAUCUCCUCAUCAAAUUCAAUCUGAUAGAAUUCAGUAUAGGUGCUUUUAUGAUGGUAGUAAUUAUAAAGAAAAUUUGCAGUUGUCAAAAGAGUGUGCAAUUUCACUUAUUUUGUACGUAGAUGAUUUUGAAGUCUGCAAUCCCCUUGGUACCUCGAGAAAAAAACACAAAAUCUGUGGGGUAUAUUGGGCAUUAGGAAACUUACCUGCUAGUUGUCACUCAUCACUAUCUAAUAUAUAUUUAGCUGCACUUAUUCGUAGUGAGGAUGUCAAGUGUUAUGGUUUUGACAGUGUACUGAAGCCCUUAAUAGAUGAUCUUAUCACAUUACAACAACAAGGACUGUUUAUUGCCAAGUUGGGGAAAACUGUGAAAGGCUUUGUUCAUUGUGUAGUAGCAGACAAUCUCGGGGCCCACGGUAUCGCAGGUUUCGUGGAAAAUUUUUCAGGUAAAUAUUUUUGCAGAUUUUGUACAGCAGAAAAUGUAGACAUUCAAACAAAAGAAGUCAAGUCUGGAGCAUUCUGUUUAAGAAUAAAGGAAAUUCAUACUUCUCAUCUGAGAGCUAUCGAAGAAAAUUCAUUGAAUUGUCAUUUUGGUGUAAAAACAAAGUGUGUGCUGUCAGAAAAUCUGUCAUAUUUCAGUGUGACAGAGAGUUUUCCCUCAGAUAUAGCUCAUGAUCUGUUUGAAGGAAUUAUCCCAGUUGAGAUUGCUCUUUGUCUUGAUGUACUGAUUUCUAAAAAAUAUUUUACAUUAGCCAAUUUGAAUGAAGCAAUAACAACGUUUCCAUUUAAGUGGACUGAUAAGACAAACCGCCCCCAUCUUGUGCCCCUCACCUACACUACAAAAAGAACAAUUGGAGGAAAUGCACAUGAGAAUUGGAGCCUGCUGAGAUUUCUUCCUCUCUUGAUUGGAGCCAGAGUUCCUUCAAGUGAACCAGUGUGGCAGGUCCUGUGUGAAUUAAAAGACAUAGUAGAACUUGUUGUUGCACCUCUUCAUACUGAGGACUCUAUUUCUUAUCUAGACUUCAAGAUAUCCGAACACAGGGCAGUAUUCCAAGAGGUUUUCCCCCAUGAAAGAAUUCGGCCCAAACAUCACUUCUUGGAGCAUUAUCCCCUGUUGAUCCGCCAGUUUGGCCCCCUUGUUGCACUAUGGACUAUGAGAUUUGAAGCAAAACAUAGCUUCUUCAAAAGAGUAAUCCGUCAUACAAACUGUUACAAAAAUGUAUUGUAUUCAUUAGCCCAGAGGCACCAAUUUCAAACUGCAUAUAAUCUGCACAUGUCUGGAUUUUCUAAGCCAUCUCUGGAGGUUACUGAUCUUUCAACACUUCCCCUUGAUGUUCUGAAUGAGGAUAUUGUACUGGCAGUCAAAGAGAAACACCCACAUAUGGACACUGUGAACCUUGCAAAAAAUGUAUCCUACAAUGGUUACAACUACAGGACUGGAAUGGUGGUAGCCCAUGGGUCGCUGGCUGGACUUCCAGAGUUUUGUGAAAUAGUUCAGAUGAUUGUGCUACAAGAGACACUAUUUUUUAUUGUCAAAAAACUGAAUGCCUGGUACCUGGAGCAUUAUCGAGCCUAUGACUUAGUCGUAUCUGCUACUAAAGAACUACGGCUUGUUGGGGUGCAAGAACUGACAGAUCCCUACCCUCUGGCUCACUACAUGGUUGGCGGACGGCGCAUCAUCUCUCUGAAGAGAUACAUACAUGUAUAAGGUUGUAUAUGAAUGGGUGUAGGUUUUCUCAAUUAAUUUUCUCAUUUUUUCACAUGCUUUUGUUUUAUUAGUCUAUUUAAUUGUCAGAAAAAAAUGCACCCAGUUUGCCAAGAAUGUCCCCUUUUCCUCUAAUAGCUCCUGACCUAAUUCUAAUGAAAUAGGCAUAUUUUUUUUGAAGGUAACAUUAGGCCUUAGCAGUUUGAUUUUCACAAAUAUUGGUAAUUUCCUUUCUCUUUCAUUCAUUCAUUCAUUCAUUCAUUAUUUCAUUCAUUCAUACAUAUUCAGUUCAUAUUUACUGUGAAAUGUCUUAUUUUUUCACCAGAAUUUUUUCACCAGAAUUUUGACUAUGAAUUGGCUCUAAGUUAUGGCUAAUUUUGUACCACACCUAAUACUGUAUUUUUAUUCUUGUCUUUACUAGAUCCUUUUGGAUGGGCUGACAUGGCAGAGAAAAGGCCAGCUAAGUUGCGAGUGAUUUUAAAUCCUGAUGACACCAGGAAGCUAAUUCUGCCUGGUGGAAUUCCAGAGACAGUGGAAGAGCUUAUCAAUCAAGUCAGGAAGAUGUGUGGAUUAAAUGGCAAUUUUAGACUGCAGUACCAAGACAGAGACUUUGGAGAUGCACUAGUGAACUUGACAUCUACUACUGAACUUGAAAAUUUGGCAACUAUCAAGGUCAUCCCAGUAUCUGAUGAUAGCCCAGCCAUCCCUGUCUGUGAUGAGGUAGAAUCUACUCAAACAGAUGACACAGAGCUCCUGUCCUCACCCUCCAGCUCUGUCUCUACAAGAACCCAGAUGUGGCCAAGAGAGUUUCCGAUACCAGCAUUCUCCUAUGACACUGAACUGCAGUUAGAAAAGGGAAAUUCAGUGUAUAGGUCAAACAAGAGACCAUUGACACCAAGUCCUAAAACAAUAUCAGAUAUUCUGAAAAAGGUAGCUGAAGAGAUUUACAAGUACAAACCCUACCCAACAGAUGCUGACUUCAGUGACGUAGCCGAAGCACUAAUCAAGAAGCAUCCAUGCCUCUCUGAACCUGGUUCGUACAACGGUUGCUACGGAUGGAAAGGCCGGCUGAAGACAAAAAUGGGCAACUACCGAACUCAGCUAAAGGGCAUAGGAUGUGCUGAAUUACUUGCAAAUUCACUGAAGUCCAAAGCUCCGGAGGAUGCAUUGCCAGCAAAAAAAGUAAAGAGACCUAGGAGAGGAGAAGCCAACCACAUUCCUGACAUUCCAACUGGAGAGACUCCAGAUAAUUUGGAAGAUGACAGAGUGACACUUUUGAGUGAGGAAGCGAAACAAUCGUGCAGUGAUAAAGAACAAAAUGGACAAGACCUUUUCACUGCGAAGACAAGAAAUUGUGGCAAAGGAAUCAGGAGUGGAAGAGGUGAAAGAGAGAUGGCCUGCAUUGUUCACAGUGGAUGAGAUCAAUGCUGAAUUUAUGAGGAUUACUACUGUUCCACUUCAACCGCGAUUCCUGGCUUCUUUGGACAAGCACCACAGCAAGCUGAUUGAGAUCAUCAGGAACAAGGGAGGAGCUGUCAGAGAGAAGACACGGGGUGUGCUGAAAGUUCUUGAUCAGAGCCUGGAUGUGAGCCUAAAGAGAGAGUGUCUGCUGAAGUGCCUCAUCUUGUACCUUGGGGAAGACGUACAAAAACUGAUCAAGGAGUUUCUGGUUGCUGAGAAGGAUGACGCCGAAAGAGAGCUUCAGCAGUGCACAAUGGCGGUGUUUGUCAUCAGGGAGGAAGAGGAUCCGUUAAAGCCACCAUGUGACAUAGGCAUCAUUAUUAAAGGUGUGGAGGUGCUUAAUGAGCUGCCAUCAGUUGCACAUUGAUGUGCCCUCUUAUUUGGCCUCAUCUAUGCUCUAAACUUGAGCUAUCCAGGUGAGCUCAAACACACUUUCGAUGCGCUGCAGAAAAUAUUCAUGGAGAUUGAACCAAAGAGAAUGACACGCAGAGUGUGCAGUCUGAGUGUCAAGCUCUAAAUAUGGGGUUGCUCAAAGAAAGACAUUUAGAUACAACAUGUUGUUCUGUUUUAUUGCUUGUAUUCAAAUACAUUCCAGGAUAAUGUAAGGGGUCAUUGUUACAUAAGAGAGAAACUAGCUUUAAUUCAAAACACGAUUUAAUUUGUGAUUUUCUGUGUUAACAGAAUUCUUUCUGUUGUAUAAAUAUUGUGGCACAUAUAUCAACACUGAAAUGUGAAUAAUGCUAAAUUCAGUAAGCAGUGUAAGAGCACUAGUGGUUAUGUUUUUUUCCUUGAACUGCCUUUAUUCAUAAUUGCACUCACAGCAGCUGUGUUUUUCCUUGCUUUAUUUUUUGGGGUCCCCUGCAUUUGUAAUGGUUCAAAAAUAAUGAUAUUCCUACAUUUAUAUCAUUUUGUCAAAUGAUAGCAAAGAGUUAACACUGUUUCUAUUUUUAUACUGUUUUAUUACUGUUACUGUUUUAUAAUGCUGUUACUUUGGAUCUCUGACGUUUUAAAGAAGAGGUGAACAAACCAGUUUUACAUGUUAAGAUGUGUAAGUUGAUGUGUUUACAGUUUCAUUAGGUGUAAAAAAAAACAUGAUGAAAAGACCACAUUUUAUUUAAUUUUACAUGAAAGUUUUUUUUUCCUAAGUGUUGUUGUGUAAAACACACACUGGCCUGUUGUACUGGUAACAACAUUGACAUAGUUUUAUUAAGUUUUUGAUGGGUUUUUUAUUAUUAUUUUGAACGGUGAUGCAAUUUUCAGAAUCAUCAAAAAUAAACGGUCUUUUGAAGAGAAUUUUCCUGUUUUUAGUUUUAUCUGCAGUGAAUCGGUUCAGUGAAUUCUAGUUUUAUAUUAUAGGGAAUUUAGCUUUUGUUUGUGGUGAAAAUUUAAGUUGUAAAAAGUAAAAAAAAAACCAUCAUUAUUUGACCUACUUGACCUACAUUAACUAACACUUU